GAUGAACGCUGGCGGCGUGCCUAAUACAUGCAAGUCGAGCGAACGGACGAGAAGCUUGCUUCUCUGAUUUUAGCGGCGGACGGGUGAGUAACACGUGGAUAACCUACCUAUAAGACUGGGAUAACUUCGGGAAACCGUAGCUAAUACCGGAUAAUAUUUUGAACCGCAUGGUUCAAAAGUGAAAGACGGUCUUGCUGUCACUUAUAGAUGGAUCCGCGCUGCAUUAGCUAGUUGGUAAGGUAACGGCUUACCAAGGCAACGAUGCAUAGCCGACCUGAGAGGGUGAUCGGCCACACUGGAACUGAGACACGGUCCAGACUCCUACGGGAGGCAGCAGUAGGGAAUCUUCCGCAAUGGGCGAAAGCCUGACGGAGCAACGCAGCGUGAGUGAUGAAGGUCUUCGGAUCGUGAAACUCUGUUAUUAGGGAAGAACAUAUGUGUAAGUAACUGUGCACAUCUUGACGGUACCUAAUCAUAAAGGCACGGCUAACUACGUG
rnacentral:rRNA from 1 species